rnacentral:tmRNA from 1 species
GGGGGUGAACAGGGUUCGACAGGGGUAGUGUAAAUAAUGGUUGCAGGCCGUGGUUGGCCGAAGGCCACGUUAACAAUCGGCCACUACAAAUAAGUGCAAACACUUAUGCAUACGCUGCCUAAUUGAUGGCGGCACGCUGCUGUUUGACGCCUAUAAAACGGACAGCGUCUAAAUAGGCUUACUUCUAAAAUUUGAUGCCCCGACAGCUUUUAGAAGGACAAAAUAAAUUGGGGACCGUUUUCAGCGUCAGGUUCAGAGACAAACUGAAAACGGCAAAAAAAAUCUGAACUAAGCCUGUAGGCGCCUUAUUUGCGUAUUUCUGGACCGGGGUUCAAUUCCCCGCACCUCCACCA